rnacentral:tRNA from 1 species
UCCUCGAUAGUAUAGUGGUUAGUAUCCCCCCCCCGUCACGCGGGAGAUCGGGGUUCAAUUCCUUGUCGGGGAU